rnacentral:piRNA from 1 species
UCUUGAAUGAUUCCCAGGAAGUUUAUGGAA